CCUACGGGUGGCAGCAGUGGGGAAUAUUGGGCACUGGGCGCAAGCCUGACCCCGCAACGCCGCGUGAAGGAAGAAGGCUUUCGGGUUGUAAACUUCUUUUGUCAGGGAAGAGUAGAAGACGGUACCUGACGAAUAAGCCACGGCUAACUACGUGCCAGCAGCCGCGGUAAUACGUAGGGUGCAAGCGUUUUCCGGAUUUACUGGGUGUAAAGGGCGUGUAGCCGGGUUGACAAGUCAGAUGUGAAAUCCUGCGGCUUAACCGCAGAACUGCAUUUGAAACUGUUGAUCUUGAGUACUGGAGAGGCAGACGGAAUUCCUAGUGUAGCGGUGAAAUGCGUAGAUAUUAGGAGGAACACCAGUGGCGAAGGCGGUCUGCUGGACAGCAACUGACGGUGAGGCGCGAAAGCGUGGGGAGCAAACAGGAUUAGAUACCCCUGUAGUC
rnacentral:rRNA from 1 species